GAUGAUAUAGCUCAAGUGGUAGAGCGCAUGCUUAGCAUGCAGAAUGUCCUGAGUUCAAUCCCCAGUACCUCCU
rnacentral:tRNA from 1 species